rnacentral:rRNA from 1 species
ACAACUUUUAACGGGGGAUCUCUUGGCUCGUGCAUCGAUGAAGAACGCAGCAAGCUGCGAUACGUAGUGUGAAUUGCAGAAUUCAGUGAAUCAUCGAAACUUUGAACGC